UCCCUGGUGGUAUAGUGGCUAAGACUCUGCACUCCCAAUGCAGGGGGCCCAAGUUCAAUCCCUGGUCUGGGAA
rnacentral:tRNA from 1 species